rnacentral:miRNA from 1 species
AAGGGGCAGGGGCAGGGAUUCAAGUG